GACAGAGGGUGCAAACGUUGUUCGGAUUUACUGGGCGUAAAGCGCGUGUAGGCGGCCUCAUAAGUCCGUUGUGAAAGUCAAAGGCUCAACCUUUGAAAGCCGAUGGAUACUGUGAGACUUGAGUACGGAAGAGGCGAGUGGAAUUCCUGGUGUAGCGGUGAAAUGCGCAGAUAUCAGGAGGAACACCAAUGGCGAAGGCAGCACUCUGGGACGUGACUGACGCUGAGACGCGAAAGCGUGGGGAGCAAACAGG
rnacentral:rRNA from 1 species